rnacentral:misc_RNA from 1 species
UUCCAAAGGGCAUGCCUGUUCGAGCGUCAUUUGUACCCUCAAGCUUUGCUUGGUGUUGGGCGUCUUGUCUUUUGGCUUCCAGCCCAAAGACUCGCCUUAAAACGAUUGGCAGCCGGCCUACUGGUUUCGCAGCGCAGCACAUUUUUGCGCUUGCAAUCAGCAAAAGAGGACGGCACUCCAUCAAGACUCCUUCUCACGUUUGACCUCGGAUCAG